rnacentral:rRNA from 1 species
ACGAAGGGGGCUAGCGUUGCUCGGAAUCACUGGGCGUAAAGCGCACGUAGGCGGAUCUUUAAGUCAGGGGUGAAAUCCUGGAGCUCAACUCCAGAACUGCCUUUGAUACUGAGGAUCUUGAGUCCGGGAGAGGUGAGUGGAACUCCGAGUGUAGAGGUGAAAUUCGUAGAUAUUGGGAAGAACACCGGUGGCGAAGGCGGCUCACUGGCUCGUUUCUGACGCUCAGGCGCGACAGCGUGGGGAUCAAACAGGA